UACGGAGGGGGCUAGCGUUGUUCGGAAUUACUGGGCGUAAAGCGCACGUAGGCGGCUUUGUAAGUUAGAGGUGAAAGCCCAGAGCUCAACUCUGGAACUGCCUUUAAGACUGCAUCGCUUGAAUCAUGGAGAGGUUAGUGGAAUUCCGAGUGUAGAGGUGAAAUUCGUAGAUAUUCGGAAGAACACCAGUGGCGAAGGCGGCUCACUGGACCGGUACUGACGCUGAUGCGCGAAAGCGUGGGGAGCAAACAGG
rnacentral:rRNA from 1 species